UCCGUAGGUGAACCUGCGGAAGGAUCAUUACCUAGAGUUUGUGGGCUUUGCCCGCUACCUCUUACCCAUGUCUUUUGAGUACUUACGUUUCCUCGGCGGGUUCGCCCGCCGACUGGACAAAAUUAAACCCUUUGCAGUUGCAAUCAGCGUCUGAAAAACAUAAUAGUUACAACUUUCAACAACGGAUCUCUUGGUUCUGGCAUCGAUGAAGAACGCAGCGAAAUGCGAUAAGUAGUGUGAAUUGCAGAAUUCAGUGAAUCAUCGAAUCUUUGAACGCACAUUGCGCCCCUUGGUAUUCCAUGGGGCAUGCCUGUUCGAGCGUCAUUUGUACCUUCAAGCUUUGCUUGGUGUUGGGUGUUUGUCUCGCCUCUGCGUGUAGACUCGCCUUAAAACAAUUGGCAGCCGGCGUAUUGAUUUCGGAGCGCAGUACAUCUCGCGCUCUGCACUCAGAACGACGACGUCCAAAAGUACAUUUUUACACUCUUGACCUCGGAUCAGGUAGGGAUACCCGCUGAACUUAAGCAUAUCAAUAAGCGGAGGAAAAGAAACCAACAGGGAUUGCCCUAGUAACGGCGAGUGAAGCGGCAACAGCUCAAAUUUGAAAUCUGGCGUCUUUGGCGUCCGAGUUGUAAUUUGCAGAGGGCGCUUUGGCAUUGGCAGCGGUCCAAGUUCCUUGGAACAGGACGUCACAGAGGGUGAGAAUCCCGUACGUGGUCGCUAGCCUUUACCGUGUAAAGCCCCUUCGACGAGUCGAGUUGUUUGGGGAAUGCAGCUCUAAAUGGGAGGUAAAUUUCUUCUAAAGCUAAAUACUGGCCAGAGACCGAUAGCACACAAGUAGAGUGAUCGAAAGAUGAAAAGCACUUUGGAAAGAGAGUUAAAAAGCACGUGAAAUUGUUGAAAGGGAAACGCUUGAAGU
rnacentral:sRNA from 1 species